GAACGACCUGUGUGUCCCUUGGAA
rnacentral:siRNA from 1 species